UGCAGUCGACGCUGAGCCCGAAGCUUGCUUCGGGUGGAUGAGUGGCGAACGGGUGAGUAACACGUGAGUAACCUGCCCCUGAUUUCGGGAUAAGCCUGGGAACCGGGUCUAAUACCGGAUAC
rnacentral:rRNA from 1 species